CAGGAAGAGCUCCACCACCAACUCCUUUUACCCUGUCCUGCUGUGUUAGGACCGGCUGUGCUGGGACCAUCCUGGUUGCUCAUGCCUCGACUGGAAAAGGCCAAUUAUCCAGAGAGAUUAAUUAUACGCACAUCACGCAAGGCUAUCAGAAAAACAGCGUCAAGAAGGAACAAGCGUGGCGCCAUGGUAACUCACCGUGCAUCAUGCGGUAACCAAAGAAGGCUGCUACAGCAACCACGGCCAGCACGGAGACUGUUGCCAGGGCGAUAAUUAUGGUCUCUUCCUGACUCAGUGUGUGAGCGUCUACAAGGGGGACACACAUCAAAAAGAAAAUGGAACAGUCACCGGCGCGCCCGCAGACAGGCAGACGGGAGCAGACGCCUUGUAAUCCGUGGAAUGCAGAGAGACGACAUGGAUGGUGGAGUGUGUGUGUUUGUGUUUAUGUGUGGGCAGGAGAGAUGAGAUGAGCCGCCGCCGCCGCCACCCACCCCCUCCUCCUCCUCCUCCUGCCACACACACUGCCUUCAUUCACAGCUAAGCUUUGAGAGGAACUAACAACGCAUCUUUUUGCUUUGUUCGACACCUUACUAAGAACUCACCGACAACUUAAACAACACAACUGACAGCCUUUCAUGGCAGAUAUAUAUCGCCUUGGACUGAGGCUGUUGAAAAUGCUACAAGCUUAUCUGUCCAUAAACGCAAACAAAUUCAUAGCUGUCAAGGUUCAUAAUGGAUGGCAAUCAGGAGGCUCUGUUCUAAACCGGGUGGCUGACUGAUGAGGCAGAGGAGGAGGAGGAAGAAGAGGAAGGAAG